GAUGAACGCUAGCGGCAGGCUUAAUACAUGCAAGUCGUGGGGCAGCAUGAGUGUAGCAAUACAUUUGAUGGCGACCGGCAAACGGGUGCGGAACACGUACACAACCUUCCUAUAAGUGGGGAAUAGCCCAGAGAAAUUUGGAUUAAUACCCCGUAACAUAAUGAUGUGGCAUCACAUUAUUAUUAUAGCUUCGGCGCUUAUUGAUGGGUGUGCGGCUGAUUAGAUAGUUGGCGGGGUAACGGCCCACCAAGUCUACGAUCAGUAGCUGAUGUGAGAGCAUGAUCAGCCACACGGGCACUGAGACACGGGCCCGAAUCCUACGGGAGGCAGCAGUAAGGAAUAUUGGUCAAUGGACGCAAGUCUGAACCAGCCAUGCCGCGUGAAGGAUUAAGGUCCUCUGGAUUGUAAACUUCUUUUAUCUGGGACGAAAAAAGGCGAUUCUUCGUCACUUGACGGUACCAGAUGAAUAAGCACCGGCUAACUCCGUGCCAGCCGCCGCGGUAACAC
rnacentral:rRNA from 1 species